GGAUGUGAGGGCGAUCUGGCUGCGACAUCUGUCACCCCAUUGAUCGCCAGGGUUGAUUCGGCUGAUCUGGCUGGCUAGGCGGGUGUCCCCUUCCUCCCUCACCGCUCCAUGUGCGUCCCUCCCGAAGCUGCGCGCUCGGUCGAAGAGGACGACCAUCCCCGAUAGAGGAGGACCGUUCUUCGGUCAAGGGUAUACGAGUAGCUGCGCUCCCCUGCUAGAACCUCCAAACAAGCUCUCAAGAAGUAAAUAAAGCAACAAAAUGCAGAAUAUCACACUUUACAUGAAUCUAUUCCAUAUUUGUUAGCCUCAAAGCACAAAUAACAUCCUUGCCGGACCAAAGUGU
rnacentral:snRNA from 1 species